AUUGAACGCUGGCGGCAGGCUUAACACAUGCAAGUCGAGCGGAGAUGAGGUGCUUGCACCUUAUCUUAGCGGCGGACGGGUGAGUAAUGCUUAGGAAUCUGCCUAUUAGUGGGGGACAACAUUCCGAAAGGAACGCUAAUACCGCAUACGUCCUACGGGAGAAAGCAGGGGAUCUUCGGACCUUGCGCUAAUAGAUGAGCCUAAGUCGGAUUAGCUAGUUGGUGGGGUAAAGGCCUACCAAGGCGACGAUCUGUAGGGGGUCUGAGAGGAUGAUCCGCCAAAUGGGGACUGUGACACGGCCCAGACUCCUACGGGAGGCAGCAGUGGGGAAUAUUGGAAAAUGGGGGGAACCCUGAUCCAGCCAUGCCGCGUGUGUGAAGAAGGCCUUAUGGUUGUAAAGCACUUUAAGCGAGGAGGAGGCUACUGAGACUAAUACUCUUGGAUAGUGGACGUUACUCGCAGAAUAAGCACCGGCUAACUCUGUGCCAGCAGCCGCCGUAAUAC
rnacentral:rRNA from 1 species